CCCCAGACUCCUACGGGAGGCAGCAGUGGGGAAUAUUGCACAAUGGGGGAAACCCUGAUGCAGCGACGCCGCGUGAGUGAAGAAGUAUUUCGGUAUGUAAAGCUCUAUCAGCAGGGAAGAAAAUGACGGUACCUGACUAAGAAGCCCCGGCUAACUACGUGCCAGCAGCCGCGGUAAUACGUAGGGGGCAAGCGUUAUCCGGAUUUACUGGGUGUAAAGGGAGCGUAGACGGCAUGGCAAGUCAGAUGUGAAAGCCCGGGGCUCAACCCCGGGACUGCAUUUGAAACUGUCAGGCUGGAGUGCAGGAGAGGUAAGUGGAAUUCCUAGUGUAGCGGUGAAAUGCGUAGAUAUUAGGAGGAACACCAGUGGCGAAGGCGGCUUACUGGACUGUAACUGACGUUGAGGCUCGAAAGCGUGGGGAGCAAACAGGAUUAGAUACCCUUGUAC
rnacentral:rRNA from 1 species